UCUUCAAUGAUGUUUUACAGUGACUUUCGUUCUUCUGAGCAUACUGAAGCCACCCUUUCUGUACUGAGACGA